CAUUGAUCUGAAAGAAUAUCAUGAUGGUCGUAUGAUGAAUGAUAAUUUCAAUAUGUAAUAGACACCAGACGUGUGGCACCUCCAAUGCCUAUUUGGAAUAUUAGACUCAUUAUUAUAUACCUUAAUGGGAGGCAAUGAUCAAGUUAUCUCGUAACUUUAUCACUUUAUGGACCUAAUAAUUUAGAAGAUGUGCUUUCAUAGAUCUGAG
rnacentral:lncRNA from 1 species